rnacentral:rRNA from 1 species
GACAGAGGUGCCGAGCGUUAGGCGGAAUUACUGGGCGUAAAGCGUGCGCAGGCGGCUUUGCAAGACAGAUGUGAAAUCCCCGGGCUUAACCUGGGAACUGCAUUUGUGACUGCAUGGCUGGAGUGCGGCAGAGGGGGAUGGAAUUCCGCGUGUAGCAGUGAAAUGCGUAGAUAUGCGGAGGAACACCGAUGGCGAAGGCAAUCCCCUGGGCCUGCACUGACGCUCAUGCAUGAAAGCGUGGGGAGCAAACAGG